rnacentral:rRNA from 1 species
ACUCCUACGGGAGGCAGCGGUGGGGAAUAUUGGACAAUGGGCGAAAGCCUGAUCCAGCCAUGCCGCGUGUGUGAAGAAGGUCUUCGGAUUGUAAAGCACUUUAAGUUGGGAGGAAGGGCAGUAAGCUAAUACCUUGCUGUUUUGACGUUACCGACAGAAUAAGCACCGGCUAACUUCGUGCCAGCAGCCGCGGUAAU